ACACGUAUGUCGCAAGCGUUAUCCGGAAUUAUUGGGCGUAAAGCGAGUCUAGGCGGCUUGUUAAGUCAGAUGUGAAAAUGCGGGGCUCAACUCCGUAUUGCGUUUGAAACUGGCAGGCUAGAGUACUGGAGAGGUGGGCGGAACUACAAGUGUAGAGGUGAAAUUCGUAGAUAUUUGUAGGAAUGCCGAUAGUGAAGACAGCUCACUGGACAGAUACUGACGCUAAAGCUCGAAAGCGUGGGGAGCGAACAGGAUUAGAAACCCCGGUAGUCC
rnacentral:rRNA from 1 species